rnacentral:rRNA from 1 species
AUUGAACGCUGGCGGCAUGCCUUACACAUGCAAGUCGAACGGUAACGGGCCUUCGGGUGCCGACGAGUGGCGAACGGGUGAGUAAUGUAUCGGAACGUACCUUCAGUGGGGGAUAACGUAGCGAAAGUUACGCUAAUACCGCAUAUUCUGUGAGCAGGAAAGCAGGGGAUCGCAAGACCUUGCGCUGAUUGAGCGGCCGAUAUCAGAUUAGCUAGUUGGUGAGGUAAAGGCUCACCAAGGCGACGAUCUGUAGCGGGUCUGAGAGGAUGAUCCGCCACACUGGAACUGAGACACGGUCCAGACUCCUACGGGAGGCAGCAGUGGGGAAUUUUGGACAAUGGGGGCAACCCUGAUCCAGCCAUGCCGCGUGAGUGAAGAAGGCCUUCGGGUUGUAAAGCUCUUUCGGCCGGGAAGAAAUCGUUAUGGGUUAAUACCCUGUGCGGAUGACGGUACCGGCAUAAGAAGCACCGGCUAACUACGUG